rnacentral:rRNA from 1 species
GCGGUAUAGAAUCUUCGGAUUCUAGAGAGCGGCGUACGGGUGCGUAACACGUGUGCAACCUACCUUUAUCUGGGGGAUAGCCUUUCGAAAGGAAGAUUAAUACCCCAUAAUAUGAGAUCAGGCAUCUGAUUUUAUUGAAAACUCCGGUGGAUAGAGAUGGGCACGCGCAAGAUUAGAUAGUUGGUGAGGUAACGGCUCACCAAGUCUGUGAUCUUUAGGGGGCCUGAGAGGGUGAUCCCCCACACUGGUACUGAGACACGGACCAGACUCCUACGGGAGGCAGCAGUGAGGAAUAUUGGACAAUGGGUGAAAGCCUGAUCCAGCCAUCCCGCGUGAAGGAUGACGGCCCUACGGGUUGUAAACUUCUUUUGUACAGGAAUAAACCUAGAUACGUGUAUUUAGCUGAAGGUACUGUACGAAUAAGCACCGGCUAACUCCGUGCCAGCAGCCGCGGUAAUACGGAGGGUGCAAGCGUUAUCCGGAUUUAUUGGGUUUAAAGGGUCCGUAGGCGGACCUGUAAGUCAGUGGUGAAAUCUCAUAGCUUAACUAUGAAACUGCCAUUGAUACUGCAGGUCUUGAGUGAAUUUGAGGUAGCUGGAAUAAGUAGUGUAGCGGUGAAAUGCAUAGAUAUUACUUAGAACACCAAUUGCGAAGGCAGGUUACCAAGAUUCAACUGACGCUGAGGGACGAAAGCGUGGGGAGCGAACAGGAUUAGAUACCCUGGUAGUCCACGCCGUAAACGAUGCUAACUCGUUUUUGGGCUUUCGGGCUCAGAGACCAAGCGAAAGUGAUAAGUUAGCCACCUGGGGAGUACGUUCGCAAGAAUGAAACUCAAAGGAAUUGACGGGGGCCCGCACAAGCGGUGGAUUAUGUGGUUUAAUUCGAUGAUACGCGAGGAACCUUACCAAGGCUUAAAUGGGAAAUGACAGGUUGAGAAAUAGAUCCUUCUUCGGACAUUUUUCAAGGUGCUGCAUGGUU